GGAUGAAGAACGUAGCGAAAUGCGAUAAGUAGUGUGAAUUGCAGAAUUCAGUGAAUCAUCGAAUUUUUGAACGCAUAUUGCGCCCUAUGGUAUUCCGUAGGGCAUGCCUGUUCGAGCGUCAUUUAAUACUUCAAGCUCUGCUUGGUGUUGGGCAUUGUCUAAUCGACUUGCCUUGAAUAUAUUGGCGGCUGGCUUUAAAGCAGAAUCAGCGCAGUACAUGCGUAGCAGACGCUUUGUUGCAAGCAUCCAAAAGCUAUACCUUUUAUUUUGACCUCGAAUCAGGCAGGGAUACCCGCUGAACUUAAGCAUAUCAAUAAGCGGAGGA
rnacentral:misc_RNA from 1 species